rnacentral:rRNA from 1 species
GUGGGGAAUAUUGGACAAUGGGCGCAAGCCUGAUCCAGCCAUGCCGCGUGAGUGAUGAAGGCCUUAGGGUUGUAAAGCUCUUUCAGUGGGGACGAUAAUGACGGUACCCACAGAAGAAGCCCCGGCUAACUUCGUGCCAGCAGCCGCGGUAAUACGAAGGGGGCUAGCGUUGUUCGGAUUUACUGGGCGUAAAGCGCACGUAGGCGGAUCGUUAAGUCGGGGGUGAAAUCCUGGAGCUAAACUCCAGAACUGCCUUCGAUACUGGCGAUCUUGAGUCCGGAAGAGGUGAGUGGAACUCCUAGUGUAGAGGUGGAAUUCGUAGAUAUUAGGAAGAACACCAGUGGCGAAGGCGGCUCACUGGUCCGGUACUGACGCUGAGGUGCGAAAGCGUAGGGAGCAAACAGGAUUAGAAACCCCGGUAGUCC